GCUGCAGAAGGAAAAACCUUGCCCCUGGCAUGGAGAUAGUGGCACAGAAUGGUAAACCUGACCUCUCCAUUCGUAUGCAGAACAUCUGGAGGACAAGGAGUGCCCCUCCUGGGACAAGCCAGGAUUCCCUCCUAGGAGAACCCAAAAGCCCCUCCAAGGACAACCCAGGCAUUCACCUAGAACAACCCUCUAGCUAAACUCCAUUCCUUCCUUCCACCUCUGCCCCAGGCUAUGUGAUCCCAUGGCCCCUCCUGAGCUCUGGGGAUUUGCAGUCCCCUCUCUGAGCCCAACAGUGAGCUGCUCAUUCCUUCAAGAAGUAGUCUUCUGCUGGUCAAGUGCAUUGAAUCAGCUCAUGGAAGAGUCAGAUAAGGAAUAGAACAAGGGUGUGUGACCAGGAGGAGAAGAGAUAGAUGGAGUAGGGGCUUGAUGUGGUGCCCCAGGGUUUCAAAGACCGCAUAAUUCUCUGCCACUGAGAGUGUGAAGUGACUCUGCACCAAGGCACAGCUCCUGCAGACCUGGAGAUCAAGGACAAAGCGUGGGGCCAUGAGGAUGGUGGGGUCAUUCCUCCUUGAUGGCAAAGCCACUUUUGCCUGCAUGGUGAAGAACCUGGAGCAAGUCAUGGUUAAUGGGUGAUGUGUGCAGACUUCGGCCUUUAGCAAGAUUAUUUCUGGGCCAAACCCACUUGCACGUUUGGGAUGAACUGGCUCGCAGGAACCCAUCAGCAGGAGACACCUCCUUCAGGAAUUUUAAAUGUCACUGGUCACCAGGAAACUGCUAUUUUAGUUCCACUUGCCAUGUCUUACUAACAUUUGCAGGGCUCCAGACUUCUCUUCCUUUUGCCAAAUCCUCCCUGUCUCACCAUGGAGCCAUGACCAAUGGGAACACAUUAAAAAAAAAAAAAAGAAAAAAAAUCACUAUUUUAGUAAAUUGUUUGAAUGUUGCUAUGAAACAGGUCAUGGGGGCCAGUGCAAGGCCCUGUUUAUGCAGUCACCCACAGAGGGAAAAAACAUUUGUUUUGCUUUGAAAAAUACCUCUUUCAUGUGGAAAGGGCACAUGGUUUGUGUGGAAGGCUACGGCCUCCAAAGGGGAGGGUGAAUUGUGGUGGGACAUUCGCUCAGUGACGCAGCCCAGCUGAGGAGCCUUGCAAAUGUUCCUUGAGACUGUUUUGCAUCUUGCUCGACGCACAUCACACGCUGCGGCCAAAUAUUCAUCCUCAGCUCAGAACGGGCUGCAUUGUAGUGCGAUUAAAGUAAAAUAUUACUCCUCAGUCCUCCAUAAGCCACAAGCAAACACCGCUGUGGGUGAAGGCCAGCAGAGGAAGAAUGACUUCAUGAAACUCAAGAGGGAAAGCAAACAUCACACCACCUCCCUGCGUGGGUCAGCCACUGUGCUGGGACAGAGACUUGCCUCUUUGAGACUUUGACUUCUGUGCUUAGAAGACUAUUUUGGGGCUUCUAUAAAGCACGGGUGUGUUACACACGGCAGCUCACUGCAGAACGAUCCAUCCCUCUCUCGUUUUUCAAGUCGUGGUGGUAAAUGGUGCACAACAUCCUCAGCACCCUGCUAUGAUGAAGCCAUUUGCAGGUGAGCCAGCAAAAAGUCUGUUGAGCUGUGCUCAGCUGCAGCCCUGGGUGGCUGGGGAUCAUCCCCUGGCCCACUCAGCUGGGGCAGGACACGGGGCUGGCCAUCGAAGUGUGAACUUAAAGAAUGGAAACAACCCAUUCCAGGUAGCAAGACUUCUUCUCCCACAAUGUAGUGCAUCUUAGUAGUGCUAAAUUUUCUUUUUUUUUUUUCUUACAAUGACAAGGAAAUGACCUAAACCCCAUGUAAUUUAUUAUUAUUUUAAAUUCUACUAGGAUGUAACAGUGCUGGUGCCAGUCCCUGCGCCGCAGAUGUAACCUGCAUGUGCUCCCAUGCCCAGCUACAAAUGCCUGCUGCUGUAGGCAGGCUAAAUACAGGUAGAUUAAUGUACACACCAAAAUUGUGGUGUCUGGCACUGUAGUUCAGCAGGACCACUUGUAGGAAUCAGUCAAUAUUAGAUAGAAAUGCUGGUAGGAUUGACACAUUUCCCAAGACUGAACGUUCCCCUGCAUUGGUUGCCACCAGCAAAGUAAGGAUUUACUGAGCUCCCUUACUCAAUCCCUGCAAAACCAAAGCCAAACUUGGGCUCCCCUUGCUCUUUGGGAGCUGGGCAGGAUGAGGUCCCCCAUGCCCAUCCCACCAAGCACUGGGUGCCUGCUCUGGACGCAUCCACAUUUUCCCUUCCCUAGAGGUGGGAUCCUCUUGUGGACCCUUCACCUCUACCAGCAUCUGCAGGGCUGAAUCAUAGAACAGUUUGGUUUGGAAGGGACAUUCAAAGCUCAUCUAGUCCAACCUCCUGCAAUGAGCAGGGACAUCUUUGCCCAGAUCAGGUUGCUCAGAGUCCCGUCCAGCCUGGCCUGGGAUCUCUCCAGGGAUGGGGCAUCCACCACCUCUCUGGGCAACCUGGGCCAGUGUUUCACCAGCCUCACUGUAGAACACAAUGUUGUGACCACCAUCACACUGAAAGAAGCCCAUAACAAGAAGUUUAAUGAGCGGUAUAAUUAAUCCUGUAUGAGAGCGGGGCUUAAAUACCUCUAUACCUGCGCGCACACAAUUGCUUGUGUGGAUAUAAAUGUGCCCACUAACAAAGAAAUAAUACUGCCCUUGAUCAAAAAUGGUUAUAAAUUUAUUGUGAAUAUAAAACCUGUGCUGGCGAGGACUCGUAAAGCAGCACAGUAAAAGAAAAUAACCCAACCCUCCUGGUACUACAAAUCCCAGGGCCUAGAAGACUUGGUUUUGCAAAGGACCCUCACAACUGCGAAUAAACCCCAAAAUUUAACAACUUGUUUAUUUUUAUUAUCCUUUUUUUUGGUCAAAAUAAGUUUGCCAUGUUAACAAAAGCAGAAUAGUUUUAUUUAGUGUUCACCUCACACCUUCGACAGCUGCAGCUGUCAGGCACAGAAAUACAGUAUUAAAAUAAACUAAACAGAGUUGCUCAUUGAAAAAAAUCACGCUAUGCAAACCUGUGGAUUGUAACAUCAACAGUAUAAAAUGUAACAAAAUGGGAAUUUUUAAUUUUUGUAAGCUUUUAAAGAUAAUAGUCCAGGCUAUAAAACUAUAUAAGCAUUGAAUAAGAAAUGUUAAAGUCAACAAGUCUACAACAGAUACAUCUUGUAAAAACUCAAUAAAUUAUAUAUAUAUAUUUAUAAUAUCUAGUAACAUUUGAAAUCAUGCACAGUUUUGUACAUUUUCUUUUUUCAGUACAGGAAAACUCAACGCUUCGAGUACUUGGAAUGUACACCAUUAGCAGACAUUUGUAAGAAAAUACCAACAAAUUCUUUUUUAUUCCAACGAAACAAAACAAAAAUCUAUAGAAAUCUACGUCCUCAAACUUCCAUUGAAAUAACCUCAAAACUAUAAAUUAUUUAUUUUAGGAUAAGGAUUUCGUGGCUCUAAGGAGAGAAAAAAAAUAUCUUAAAAUGAGAUGCUGUCAUCCUGUUAUUCUGAAACACUGAUAUGUAAUACGCACCAGAGAAAAAUGGAAAGAAAGAAUUCAGGAUGCAACUUGCCUCUUCGUGGUAGUAGAUAAAAGUCUUCUGGACAAUAAGACCCAAAAAAAAUCCCACAAAAAAACCCCAGCCCAAAUCUGCCCUUUUGUCAGCUUGAUCCACGCUAAUAUUCCCUAGUUCACUCCUGUGCUUUUACACAGCUAUAGGACACAGAGGAACAAAACAGCACAGCAUUUUAACAACAGAAAAUCAGGCAUCACUGGCAUUUUCCAAUGAAUCAGAUGCAAAAGAAAUAAGCAGUCGUUGCACUUCUCCUGCAAACAGUGUCGCUUUUCUGGCUAUUUUGCUCACAAGGCAUUUCUGAAGCCCAAAAUACAACGGUACUGGCAAAGGGGAAAAAAAAAUUAGCCCGCAUCAUCCAAAGUCAACAUUUCACUUUGCUGCACACUGGUUAUUAAGUCGACCACAAAGAAUACCUUCAUUUGAAAAUAGAAAAAUAAACAUCCACACCCCCUUAAUGCACAGUGGUUAAACUGAUGGAAGAAUUCGUGGCCCUGUUUUUCUGAAAUAUGUAAAAAUCAUCUCUUGGCUGCUAUUUGUUUGGUUUUAACCACUGGUGAUGUAUGGAAAAAUAAACUUACCUCUGCUCACUGCAAUCCAGGAUAAACUAAUACUUUUUAAAUGAAUACAUAUAUAUAUUUAUAACAUUAAAUGUAAUUUGUUAAAGGACUGUACACCUAUACAUUCUUUCAAUAUUUCCCAUAAACACAAAAGAAAAACUUGAUUAAUAUAUUUUUUCUCCAUUUUUAAUAAGUUAAAAAAAAACACCCUUAAGCUUGGUGAAAUUUGAAGUUUACAGUAACUCUACGCUAUUUAAACCAAUGAACAGAUAUGUUAAUGUCUAUAAAUAACUUUACAAAUAUACAUGUUAAAGUACAAUUUUUAAAACAAAACUGUGAAGAUAUAAAACAAACAAAAUCUUUCCUUUUGCCCAGAUCAGUAUAUCCUAGAUUGCAAUGCUCGUAUUUUGAGACUCUCAGUACUGCUUUACGUUGCAUUAGUAUUAUACAUUCUUUUUUUUAAUAUAUUUAUUUAUAUAUAUACAGGAUAUAUUUAUAGAUAUAUA